UACAGAGGGUGCAAGCGUUAAUCGGAAUUACUGGGCGUAAAGCGUGCGCAGGCGGUUAUGUAAGACCGAUGUGAAAUCCCCGGGCUUAACCUGGGAACUGCAUUGGUGACUGGCGGGCUAGAGUAUGGCAGAGGGGGGUAGAAUUCCACGUGUAGCAGUGAAAUGCGUAGAGAUGUGGAGGAAUACCGAUGGCGAAGGCAGCCCCCUGGGCCAAUACUGACGCUCAUGCACGAAAGCGUGGGGAGCAAACAGG
rnacentral:rRNA from 1 species